rnacentral:lncRNA from 10 species
CAUGUUGUUCCCUGGCUGCAGCCAGAACUUUUUACACAUACUGGGGAGUCACGAUGACUCUUAGAUGCUAGCUAUGUUUCUUGCAAAUGGCAAAAUCUUUGUCUUUUAAAGGUUGGGGCUUUGCUUGUCAGGGUAUUGUUUGGAGGUAGAGGUGUGAGUGUGGGUGUGGCAUGAUGGGAGCCAGGGGCCAGGCAACUUGUCCCAUAGCCAUUACCAGAGAGGCUCUAGGAAGGUAUAUUUACAAGUUGGAGGAAGUUGGAAUUGCUGAAGACAAGGCUUGGCAGUGACCCUCCCUUGAAGCAGGUUGGUGAACACAACCGUCAUUGCCACAAGAGACAGCAUCAACAUGUAGAUAAAGGACAAAUACAAAUCUAGAGAGAGAGAGAAAUGAUGAUAGCAAGGGCACAGAUAUUUAUGAAGAGACAGAAAUGAAAAUAAUGUAUUAUAUUGAAAUAAACUUGUGCUUAACAUCAAAAAAUUAAAAAUGAUAUGACAAUUUUUUCUUUAAUCGAUAUACUGUCUUAGGACAAGGACUAUUGCUAAACUCAUAAAACAGAGUAAAUAAAAAAUACCUAAAGACUUAGAAAAGACUAGAUGAGGCUAUCUGAGACCAGGUCCCUACCCACUCAUGAUUCAGCAUAAUUCAAGAAAUACUUAAUGAGCUUCCACUUUAUGCUACAUUAUGUUAUCUUAGGUAAAAAGGGAAUGCAGAUUAAAGAAAUAAUUUCACACCACAAAGAAUUCACACACUGAAGAUAAGACAAACACGAAAAUAUUUUAAAUAGUAAGUCAAGUGUAGUAAGUGUCAAAAGAGGUACAAAAAAAAAUUCUAUUUAACUUCCAAGUAAAUUAAAUCACUUUUGGUGGGGGAUCAAAAAAGACUUCAUGAUAGACAAUUCACACACACUCAC